rnacentral:rRNA from 1 species
GUGGCGAACGGGUGAGUAACACGUGGGUAACCUGCCCCCAUCUCUGGGAUAACUGCUGGAAACGGUGGCUAAUACCGGAUACUACUGCUGGUCGCAUGGCCUGGUGGUGGAAAGCUUUUGCGGUUGGGGAGGGGCUCGCGGCCUAUCAGCUGGUUGGUGGGGUGAUGGCCUACCAAGGCGGUGACGGGUAGCCGGCCUGAGAGGGCGGUCGGUCACAUUGGGACUGAGAUACGGCCCAGACUCCUACGGGAGGCAGCAGUGGGGAAUUUUGCACAAUGGGCGGAAGCCUGAUGCAGCGACGCCGCGUGAGGGAUGACGGCUUUCGGGUUGUAAACCUCUUUUAUCCAUGACGAAGGUCAGGUUUUUGCCUGGUUGACGGUAGUGGUUGAAUAAGCGCCGGCUAACUACGUGCCAGCAGCCGCGGUAAGACGUAGGGCGCGAGCGUUGUCCGGAUUUAUUGGGCGUAAAGGGCUCGUAGGCGGCUCGUCGCGUCUGCCGUGAAAGACCACAGCUUAACUGUGGUUUUGCGGUGGAUACGGGCGGGCUUGAGGCCAGUAGGGGAGAUCGGAAUUCUACGUGUAGCGGUGAAAUGCGCAGAUAUGUGGAGGAACACCGGUGGCGAAGGCGGAUCUCUGGGCUGGUUCUGACGCUGAGGAGCGAAAGCAUGGGGAGCGAACAGGAUUAGAUACCCUGGUAGUCCAUGCUGUAAACGGUGGGCGCUAGGUGUGGGGGUGGCAUUGGUUCACUCUG